rnacentral:rRNA from 1 species
AUUGAACGCUGGCGGCAUGCCUUACACAUGCAAGUCGAACGCGAAAGGGGGCAACCCUGAGUAGAGUGGCGCACGGGUGAGCAAUACAUCGGAACAUACCCAGUAGUGGGGGACAACCAGUCGAAAGAAUGGCUAAUACCGCAUACGACCUACGGGUGACAGCGGGGGACCGUAAGGCCUCGCGCUAUUGGAUGGGCCGAUGUCUGAUUAGCUAGUUGGUGCGGUAACGGCUCACCAAGGCGACGAUCAGUAGCUGGUCUGAGAGGAUGAUCAGCCACACUGGGGCUGAGACACGGCCCAGACUCCUACGGGAGGCAGCAGUGGGGAAUUUUGGACAAUGGGGGCAACCCUGAUCCAGCAAUGCCGCGUGAGUGAAGAAGGCCUUCGGGUUGUAAAGCUCUUUCGGCCGGGACGAAAUCGCUCUGGUGAAUAUCCAGGGUGGAUGACGGUACCGGAAUAAGAAGCACCGGCUAACUACGUGCCAGCCGCCGCAGUAG